CCACGUUGCACUCACUCGCGCGCAUGCUGGUCUCUUCUCCCCUUCCUUCCGCUGCGGCGCGUGCUGCCGUGGCGCUUCUCUUCUUGAUGCUCGGUCUUGCUCACAGAGCGAAUGGGUGGUCCGGCGCCGACGCCUACACGAUAGUCCUGUUGAACGGCUUUGACACAGACAUGGCUCUGCAGGAUCAGUUCUACAACGCUCCCAACGGCACGCUCUUGACCAUCGCGCGCAGCGGGUAUCGCCUCAUGGAUAGAGAUCUCGCGCCGCCGACCUCUGCGCCGACGUUGGCGAGAGAGACGGUCUUCAUGCCCGCCGGUGCCCUGGACGAGCGCCUCUCCACCGCGAUGGGGUAUCAAGGAACGAAAGCCGUAGGUGGCCCACUCCCGUUUCGUUGUCGACUCUCUGGGGAGUGGGUGGUGUGGAGCAAGGAGCGGCCGCGCAGAAGUUGUGUGGGUGAGCAGGCUCGAGGAAAGGGCGCUGAAGAGGAACCAGUUCUGUUGCAUUGCCGGCUCCCGCUGCCGCAGAACCGGAUGGAGCAGGCGUUGCGGCAGCGUCGCUACAUUGCGCGUAAUCGCGCUGCCAUGUCCGCCGCACUCGAGGCGUGGUGGCACACGGCUGCCAGCGAGCAGUCCUCCCGCUGUCUGUACGGAGACGGCGAAAAGGCACUGACCGGCAGGGAGCGAUACUACGAACUGUGUCCCGCCGGCGUUGUGUAUCGAGUUCAGCACCAGCGCCUGAAGCGCCUGCUACAGCCCCUCUCUCCGCAUCGUGGCACUGAGGGUGCCUCCACGAAAGCCGAGGACACACCAAACGUGCUCGACUUCUUGCACACCAUGCACCACAGCCUGUCGAGUCGCCAGGCCAUAUUGCAGAACCCACGGUACAGCGGCGUCUUUGAGCAGAUAGGUCGGUACCACUCGCGCAUUUCGAAGCCACGGUGGAACCCGGAGUACCUGGUGUGGGAGAGCUGGUAUCCAUCAGCGAAUCCAUGCGCUACGCAUUACACAAUACUCUCCGAUUUCGCGGGAGCAGGGAUCGCUAACAAAAGCGCCACUGCGCGAGCUCGUGGGGCGCCACAUGCAGUGCGGCCUCAAGACGCCUACUGGAAGACCGUGGUGCGCUUCAGAUGCCCGUCCCAUCGCCCCGCGAACGAGACGCACAAGAGGUCGCUCUGGACGGUGACGGAGGCCCGUCAGCUGUGCGAGUACCAUGUGGAGGUGAUGAGCGAGCUGAUCUGCGGCUGGGAGCAGGAGCUGGACAGUUUCCAGGUGAACCCGGUGCCGUGUGUGGUGGUGGAUUGACGCCUUUGGCGUCGCAGAGGCAACGUACCAAUGUGCAGCUGCUGCAGGGCCUCGGCGCCAGCCCGGGUGCACAUAUAUAUAUAUAUAUAUGUGUGUGUGUGUAUGUGCGUCGUGGGCCGCUCUCCGUACUUCUCUUUUCCACACCCACCGGUUCCCCACCAAGGCGCGGAGAAAGGAGGAGGAGCUCGGGUGCUCCUCGGAUGCCACACGCCGCUGAUCUGCUCGUCAAACACACGCUCG
rnacentral:misc_RNA from 1 species